AUAUCUGAAAAUUUCAUCGGAUCACAAGCAAAGACCUCCUGGGGACCUUCAAUGCAUCCCUUGACAAAGUUGUGCCUGGCCUGCUGAAACUGUACUGGUCUAAGAAGGGAGCUCUUGGUGAGGAGAUGGAAGACCUCCUGGAUAAACUUGAUGAACAGACAUCCAACACUGUGUCCAACGGGCACUGAGAGGCCUGCCCAUUUUCCUCAAGAGAAGAUGCAACAGAGGUUUCCUGAAGUGCUUAGACACUGACAUUUUGGAACCAGUGUUGAACGGUGCAUCAGUUGCCAUCCUCACCAUCCUACAAGAUGACGAUGCUGAUACGUCUGUGCGAGAACAUGCAGUUGUGUUGGAAGGGGACAUUGUGCUACAUAACAUUCCAGAUCUCUCUACUGCCCUGGCACACCUCUUUGGCCUUCUGUAUGCCCUCAACAUUGAUUAUCCAAAGCAGAUGAGUUUUACCUUUGAAGCAAUUCAGGCCAUCUUAUUUUGGCCUGGUCGGACAAUAUGAAGGUGAAGUGGAUAAAUCAUUAUUCGAAAUGUAAAUUUUAGUCAGAUGAAUCUGUAUUGUUGAGAAUAUAUGGUGAAAAUUUGUCUUGUAGUAUUUUAAAAGAUUUGUUAUAGUGUUAGUUUCCUCUUCAUUGAUGGUAACAUUUCUAAGAACUUUUAACUUCCAUAGUUCAUCAUAGUAAGCCUGUGUAAAAUGUCAAUGUCUGGGUGCAUAGGCAAUCGUUUGUAGCACUACCCUAUUUAAUGUGCAAUAGUUAUGUUCAGCUUUUACAAGACGGUCA